GGCUGGUCCACCCUUGGUACUGGUCCACUCCUGGCAUCUCAGAGGCUUGGUGUCUAAGUGCUAUCUAAAAUUAUGACCUAAGCACGAUCAGUUUUCUUUUGUUUGUCUUGGGUGUACAAGUUGUUUCAUUUAGUUAAAGUAAUGUUAAGCAUCUCGUUGACCUACCCUAUAUUGCUGAUUAUUUAAGGAGUUCCUCAAGUCCUGAUCAAAGCACUUGAAGUACCUUCUCUGCUUGUUUGCAGAGACCCUGUGGGUCACCGUGUGCCUCAGCUGGAGUGGACUGCACCUCUGUCAUAAUCCCACUACAUAUCUAUCUAUGGCACACUAUAGCCACUAAUUUCUACAAAGGUUGUCCUACUGAACCCCGAGGAGCCCGGGGACCACCGCUACCAUGACGACUGCCAUCCUGGAGCGCCUGAGCACCCUGUCUGUGAGCGGGCAGCAGCUGCGUCGUCUGCCCAAGAUUCUGGAAGAAGGGCUUCCCAAGAUGCCAUGCACCGUCCCAGAAACCGACGUGCCCCAGCUCUUUCGGGAGCCGUACAUCCACGCAGGCUACCGUCCCACGGGGCACGAGUGGCGUUACUACUUCUUCAGCCUCUUUCAGAAGCACAACGAGGUGGUCAACGUCUGGACCCACUUGCUCGCGGCC
rnacentral:lncRNA from 1 species